rnacentral:tRNA from 1 species
CGCGGAGUAGAGUAGAUGGUCAACUCGACGGCCUCAUAAGCCGUAUAUGGGGGUUCGAAUCCCCCCUCCGCUAC